CAGGGACUUUGGGCAGCAUCUAAAGAAGAGAAGAAGCGUGAAAUCUAUUCAUCACAAUCCAGCAGAAACAGAUCUAAAGAGAUGGACAUUACAUGCGAUGUUUUCGGCCCAGCGGAUCUGCCCUGAGGUGGAACAACAUUAAUGAGUCCUUCAACAAAAACCACUGAAGAACAGCUGAAAACAGUCGCUGCGGGCUUCAGCUGCUUCUCUCUUCAGGACGGGCAUCAUCAGCUCCUGGAUCAACAGAUGUCUGAUUCCUCCUGUGGAGACUGUCGAUCACCCCUAAACAGGGGCAUUUAGCCAGAGACAUCAUU